UACGGGGGGAGCAAGCGUUGUUCGGAUUUACUGGGCGUAAAGGGCGCGUAGGCGGCCACCGCAAGUCAGUUGUGAAAUCUCUGGGCUUAACCCAGAAAGGUCAACUGAUACUGCGGGGCUAGAGUGCAGAAGGGGCAACUGGAAUUCUCGGUGUAGCGGUGAAAUGCGUAGAUAUCGAGAGGAACACCUGCGGCGAAGGCGGCACUCUGGGCCGGAACUGACGCUGAGGAGCGAAAGCGUGGGGAGCGAACAGG
rnacentral:rRNA from 1 species